UACGUAGGUGGCAAGCGUUGUCCGGAUUUACUGGGCGUAAAGGGCGUGCAGGCGGUUUGUUAAGUGCAGGGUGAAAGCUCCCGGCUCAACUGGGAGAGGUCCUUGCAUACUGGCAAACUCGAGGGAGGCAGAGGAAAGUGGAAUUCCCGGUGUAGUGGUGAUAUGCGUAGAUAUCGGGAGGAACACCUGUGGCGAAAGCGGCUCACUGGACCACAACUGACGCUGAUGCGCGAAAGCUAGGGGAGCAAACAGG
rnacentral:rRNA from 1 species